CAAAUAUAACAUGAGUUGUGUUUCCAACCCAUAUGGCAGACAGUAUAAAAAUUAAAACUAUUUUUCCGAACUCAAGUCACGCAUUAAAAAAGUCUAUUUAAGUAUUCUUCACUAUUGUCCGAGGUCGAUAUCUUUGAAAAAACUAUGUAAAACAAAAAGCUCCUUCAUGUUUAGAUGCCCUUUUGGAUACGUUUCAAAACAUUAUUUUUCCGUGUUCUCAAAUGACAAAACCCCGUAUACGGCUAUAUUAGAAACUUUGUCAAGCUUCAUUACUUUGGUAAUCAGAGCAAACGUUAAAAAUCAUGGCGCCUAAAUAAACCAUUAAUUUAAAUCUAUGUUGAAAGAAUUCAUUUUGGG
rnacentral:lncRNA from 1 species